rnacentral:rRNA from 1 species
UACGUAGGUGGCAAGCGUUGUCCGGAAUUAUUGGGCGUAAAGCGCGCGCAGGCGGUUUCUUAAGUCUGAUGUGAAAGCCCACGGCUCAACCGUGGAGGGUCAUUGGAAACUGGGGAACUUGAGUGCAGAAGAGAAGAGCGGAAUUCCACGUGUAGCGGUGAAAUGCGUAGAGAUCGGGAGGAACACCAGUGGCGAAGGCGCCUAUCUGGCUGACAACUGACGCUGAGACUCGAAAGCAUGGGGAGCAAACAGG